rnacentral:rRNA from 1 species
UCGGGAAUUUUGGGCAAUGGGGGAAACCCUGACCCAGCAACGCCGCGUGAAGGAUGAAGUAUUUCGGUAUGUAAACUUCGAAAGAAUAGGAAGAAUAAAUGACGGUACUAUUUAUAAGGUCCGGCUAACUACGUGCCAGCAGCCGCGGUAAUACGUAGGGACCAAGCGUUGUUCGGAUUUACUGGGCGUAAAGGGCGCGUAGGCGGCAUGACAAGUCACUUGUGAAAUCUCUGGGCUUAACCCAGAACGGCCAAGUGAUACUGUCGCGCUAGAGUGCAGAAGGGGCAAUCGGAAUUCUUGGUGUAGCGGUGAAAUGCGUAGAUAUCAAGAGGAACACCUGAGGUGAAGACGGGUUGCUGGGCUGACACUGACGCUGAGGCGCGAAAGCCAGGGGAGCAAACAGGAUUAGAUACCCAAGUAGUCCCUGAGCGGGCUGGCAAGGCGCAU